CCCGGUCCUCGGUAGUGGCUCGCGGAGCCCGGUUCGCCGGCCUCCGCGGACCUCGAUCGAAGACCGUC
rfam:Cellulomonas carbonis T26 contig127, whole genome shotgun sequence.